rnacentral:rRNA from 1 species
AGAGUUUGAUCCUGGCUCAGGAUGAACGCUAGCGGCAGGCUUAACACAUGCAAGUCGAGGGGCAGCGGGGAGGAAGCUUGCUUUCUCCGCCGGCGACCGGCGCACGGGUGAGUAACACGUAUGCAACCUGCCCCUGUCAGGGGGACAACCCGCCGAAAGGCGGGCUAAACCCGCGUACAUGCCACCGGGGCAUCCCGGAGGCAGGAAAGGCUUCGGCCGGACAGGGAUGGGCAUGCGGCGCAUUAGGCAGUAGGCGGGGUAACGGCCCACCUAACCGACGAUGCGUAGGGGUUCUGAGAGGAAGGUCCCCCACACUGGUACUGAGACACGGACCAGACUCCUACGGGAGGCAGCAGUGAGGAAUAUUGGUCAAUGGUCGGGAGACUGAACCAGCCAAGCCGCGUGAGGGAGGAAGGUACAGAGUAUCGUAAACCUCUUUUGUCAGGGAACAAAGGCGGGGACGUGUCCCCGGAUGAGUGUACCUGAAGAAAAAGCAUCGGCUAACUCCGUGCCAGCAGCCGCGGUAAUACGGAGGAUGCGAGCGUUAUCCGGAUUUAUUGGGUUUAAAGGGUGCGCAGGCGGUCUGUUAAGUCAGCGGUCAAAGCCCGGGGCUCAACCCCGGCCCGCCGUUGAAACUGGCAGUCUCGAGUUGGAGAGAAGUAUGCGGAAUGCGCGGUGUAGCGGUGAAAUGCAUAGAUAUCGCGCAGAACUCCGAUUGCGAAGGCAGCAUGCCGGCUCCACACUGACGCUGAGGCACGAAAGCGUGGGUAUCGAACAGGAUUAGAUACCCUGGUAGUCCACGCAGUAAACGAUGAAUGCUGGCUGUCCGGGGGGACUGACCCCUGGGUGGCGAAGCGAAAGCGAUAAGCAUUCCACCUGGGGAGUACGCCGGCAACGGUGAAACUCAAAGGAAUUGACGGGGGCCCGCACAAGCGGAGGAACAUGUGGUUUAAUUCGAUGAUACGCGAGGAACCUUACCCGGGCUCAAACGGGGAGUGGCGCAGGCAGAGACGCCUGUUUCCCACGGGACACUCCCCGAGGUGCUGCAUGGUUGUCGUCAGCUCGUGCCGUGAGGUGUCGGCUUAAGUGCCAUAACGAGCGCAACCCCCGCGUGCAGUUGCUAACAGUCAACGCUGAGGACUCUGCACGGACUGCCGGCGCAAGCUGCGAGGAAGGCGGGGAUGACGUCAAAUCAGCACGGCCCUUACGUCCGGGGCGACACACGUGUUACAAUGGCAGGUACAGAGAGAAGCCAUCCCGCGAGGGAGAGCGGAACUACAAAGCCUGUCUCAGUUCGGAUUGGAGUCUGCAACCCGACUCCAUGAAGCUGGAUUCGCUAGUAAUCGCGCAUCAGCCACGGCGCGGUGAAUACGUUCCCGGGCCUUGCACACACCGCCCGUCAAG